UCUCUCUCUACAGUAUGGUUUUCCACCUCUACCGCCAUUGCACCACCACAAAACUGCCAUAACCAUCAUCACCAUCAAAUGCAGGAAAUCACCGGAACUCUCUCUCCUUCUCUUCUCCAUCUCACUUUUUUCUCCAUAGCCACCACCACCUGAAACCCCCUCUAGCUGGCAACCACCACCUAAAACCGACGCUUUCCAGAUCUGUUCCGCCGCCACCUAAAACCGGAGCUCUCUCUUCUUCAUCACUCUUUCUUCCGCCGCCUCUUAAUGUGGCCAGAUAUGUGACACCUGUGAACUCGUUGGCCGACCGACCACCACCAAACCCAUUGCCUCCUUGUUCGUCCCUGAUAAACACGGUAUCAUUCCUUUCUACUUUCUCUCUGAUUUUCCCGCUUCAAGUUCCGUAAUUGUUGCUGAUUUAUGAUAUUUGAUCUUUUUUUGAGGAAAUUUGGGCGAUAUUGUUCUUGGAUUUGAUACUCUCAAACCCUAUAUGGUGCUGUUGUUAGAUGAUCAUGAUGCAAAACAUAAGAUUGGACGAGGGCCUUAGUAACAUAAACGAAGAAAGACAAUGGGUUUAAACUCGUUUAUUUCACUUUAACACUAUGUAAAACAAUUAUUAAUUCAAUAAAACAAAACUUCAAUUAC